rnacentral:rRNA from 1 species
GUGCCAGCCGCCGCGGUAAUUCCAGCUCCAAUAGCGUAUAUUAAAGUUGUUGUGGUUAAAAAGCUCGUAGUUGAACCUUGGGCCUGGCUGGCCGGUCCGCCUCACCGCGUGCACUGGUCCGGCCGGGCCUUUCCCUCUGUGGAACCCCAUACCCUUCACUGGGCGUGGCGGGGAAACAGGACAUUUACUUUGAAAAAAUUAGAGUGCUCCAGGCAGGCCUAUGCUCGAAUACAUUAGCAUGGAAUAAUAAAAUAGGACGCGCGGUUCUAUUUUGUUGGUUUAUAGGACCGCCGUAAUGAUUAAUAGGGACAGUCGGGGGCAUCAGUAUUCACCUGUCAGAGGUGAAAUUCUUGGAUCAGUUGAAGACUAACUACUGCGAAAGCAUUUGCCAAGGAUGUUUUCAUUAAUCAGGAACGAAAGUUAGGGGAUCGAAGACGAUCAGAUACCGUCGUAGUCUUAACCAUAAACUAUGCCGACUAGGGAUCGGACGGUGUUAUUCAUGACCCGUUCGGCACCUUACGAGAAAUCAAAGUGCUUGGGCUCCAGGGGGAGUAUGGUCGCAAGGCUGAAACUUAAAGAAAUUGACGGAAGGGCACCACCAGGGGUGGAGCCUGCGGCUUAAUUUGACUCAACACGGGGAAACUCACCAGGUCCAGACACAAUAAGGAUUGACAGAUUGAGAGCUCUUUCUUGAUUUUGUGGGUGGUGGUGCAUGGCGUUCUUAGUUGGUGGGGUGACUUGUCUGCUUAAUUGCGAUAACGAACGAGACCUUAACCUGCUAAAUAGCCCGCAUUGCUCCGGCAGUGCGCUGGCUUCUUA